CUUCCCCGGUCCCUGACGCGACAACGGUCUCUGCCGCACUGGGAUUGGGCGGGCCCUCAUGUCAAUCAAGCGCCGUGCCUGAUGUGGAGGGAGCGGAGGCUGCGCGGCGGAGAGUAGAGAGCUAGAGGGUGAGAAGCGCUGGGCCGGACCAGAACUGUCUUAGCUUUUCCCUCUGCGGCUGCUCUGGUUGGUUACUUUGAGCCUGCCUCCUCAGCGCCGCAGGAGAGACUUAACAGCAAAAAUGACUGUGUCCUGAGUUCAGCCCCCACUGCUCUGGGAGCUUCCCCCUGGUUUCUGCACCUGAAGAAUGUCAUCCCAGCCGAAGGUUCUUAGGAGCGGGGAGCGACAAAGAAAAACAAAGAAAAGCAGACCUGAAAAUUGGGACCUGGGAGAAAUAGACGAGUGCUCUAAACCAGUAUCAUGGCUCCAGUUCCUCUGACAAGGAUUCACAUGGGGUUGCAAUUCUGACUGUGCUGGUGAUGCUGGUUCCAGGUCCCUCAGGAACCCCUCCCCCAGUCUGGUCUGCCCUUGAACUCUAUACUGGCCCCAGGGUAUCCCAGGAUUGUCAGAAAGGCCUGGCCAGGAUUCACCUGGGAGAGGGAUCAGCAUCUCUGCAAAGUUGUUGGAUUGAAAGAACUUUCAUUUUGAGCUACAUCAUUGAAGAGCUUUAAAUCUGAAAAUAAGAAAGACGUUGAACCCUAUUACUCACAUCUCUUUGUCAUUUGAAGCAGAUCCCGAACCACUCAAAAGGACAAAACAAGGAAAUAGCAAUGAAAUUGGAUUCAGUGAAUGGGGUAAGGGUAUUAAGUGUCUGAAAUAUAAGAGAUAAAAAAAUUAGUUUUUACCUUUUUUUCUAUUUUCUAAAUGUUUUGGUGGCUAGAAUAAGAUAUACUUUGAACUCAAGAGCAAUAAAUGUUAAUAUAUUAAAAGUAGCUUUAUGAAAUAUGGAAAGUAUCUUUAUUUCAAAAUACUUCAAAGUAAUCAUCUGAAUAUUUAUCAGAAAUAUUAAGACAACUUAUUAAAUCCUGUAUUAAAAUGAUUGCUUAUUACUUUUUGUUUAUACUAGUCAGAAGUGAUUCUCUUCCACAUUUUAGAUUUUUCAGAGUAAAAAGGAUAUAAUUUUAGACUUUCAAUUGAAUAUAAACUGGGGUUUUUCCACACGAUUUGUGGACAUGGCUGUCUGAUGGUGACUCUUAGGUAUUUAUGCUAAAAAUGUUAUUUUGGGGAUCCUUG
rnacentral:lncRNA from 1 species